rnacentral:rRNA from 1 species
GGUGCGAUCAUACCAGCACUAAUGCAUCGGAUCC